UGGAUGAUGUGGUUUAAUUCGAUGCAACGCGAAAACCUUACCCACCUUUGACAUGGCAGGAAUCCCGAAGAGAUUUGGGAGUGCUCGAAAGAGAACCUGCACACAGGUGCUGCAUGGCUGUCGUCAGCUCGUGUCGUGAGAUGUUGGGUUAAGUCCCGCAACGAGCGCAACCCUUGUCAUUAGUUGCCAUCAUUUGGUUGGGCACUCUAAUGAGACUGCCGGUGACAAACCGGAGGAAGGUGGGGAUGACGUCAAGUCCUCAUGGCCCUUAUGGGUAGGGCUUCACACGUCAUACAAUGGUCGGUACAGAGGGUUGUCAACCCGCGAGGGGGAGCUAAUCCCACAAAGCCGAUCGUAGUCCGGAUCGCAGUCUGCAACUCGACUGCGUGAAGUCGGAAUCGCUAGUAAUCGUGGAUCAGCAUGUCACGGUGAAUACGUUCCCGGGUCUU
rnacentral:rRNA from 1 species